AGCUUUGCACAGUGGCAAUAUUGAACCCAGUGAGUUUUAUCCAAGGCACAAUUAUUGCUAAUUGAAAACUUUCCUACAAAGUUUUUAUCUUUUUUUUUAUAUCAAUAGAACAAUGAGUUAAUAACAUCAGUCUU